AUUGAACGCUGGCGGCAUGCUUUACACAUGCAAGUCGAACGGCAACACGGGGGCGAACCCUGGUGGCGAGUGGUGAACGGGUGAGUAAUACAUAGGAACGUAUCCUGAAAUGGGGAGUAGCUCGGCGAAAGCCGGAUUAAUACCGCAUACGAUCUACGGAUGAAAGCAGGGGAUUCGCAAGAACCUUGCGUUUCUGGAGCGGCCUAUGUCUGAUUAGCUAGUUGGCGGGGAAAAGCCCACCAAGGCGACGAUCAGUAGCUGGUCUGAGAGGAUGAUCAGCCACACUGGGACUGAGACA
rnacentral:rRNA from 1 species